CGGGUGCGUAACGCGUAUGCAACUUACCUUUUACUAGAGAAUAGCCAAGAGAAAUUUUGAUUAAUGCUCUAUACUCUUUUUAACUCACAUGAGUUUUUAAGAAAAGCUCCGGCGGUAAAAGAUGGGCAUGCGUCCUAUUAGCUUGUAGGUGAGGUAACGGCUCACCUAAGCUCCGAUAGGUAGGGGUCCUGAGAGGGAGAUCCCCCACACUGGUACUGAGACACGGACCAGACUUCUACGGAAGGCAGCAGUAAGGAAUAUUGGACAAUGGAGGAAACUCUGAUCCAGCGAUGCCGCGUGAAGGAAGACGGCCCUAUGGGUUGUAAACUUCUUUUAUACAGGAAGAAACCUUUCCACGUGGGAAAGCUGACGGU
rnacentral:rRNA from 1 species